GUAUUUUUCAGGGUAUUUUUUUAGGAAAAAAAGUGUGUCUUGUAAGCCAUAAAAUACGGUAACGUAAUAAACCAACAUCUCCUAGCACGUAAACCUGCUAGUGGGUGCACUGAGGUGUCCUAACCUUCCUUCACUUACAGUACUCCAUGAAGAGAAACUGCAGCGAUAGAGGGCAGCAUGACAUCUGCCAUCAUAGCAGACACAAUUUCACACUACUGCAGUGUCAUCAUGUGAGGAGCGAGUGAUGAUAGGGGAGAGGUUGAGAAGCAGUCCACGUUCACCAACGAUGGGUGUACUCUCCAGGCGGGGCAAUACCCUCCCUACUUCAAGGGCUGCUCGGGGUUGUCUGCCGCUGCCAUGAUGCUCUCGGCUGGGACCCGAGUUAACUUUCUGAGCACAGCAUACAUGAAAGCUCUCCACUGCUGCUGACACCAGUGACAGACCAAAGGAAGGCUGCUCUGAUAGAAGUUCUGGUAUACGUGCCAGGUCCCGCAAGAUGGAAGCAAGUCGUCGUCUACAAAAUGUAAAUAAAAAAAUUAAGU